AGAGUUUGAUUCUGGCUCAGAACGAACGCUGGCGGCAUGGAUUAGGCAUGCAAGUCGAACGGGAUCUGAGGUAUUCAAGUAGCAAUAUGAGAAUAUCUCAGUGAGAGUGGCGAAAGGGUGAGGAACACGUGAGUUACCUGCCCCUAAGUUUGGAAUAACCUUCCGAAAGGAGGGCUAAUGCCGAAUGUGGAUUACCCGUAAAGGGGACAUCUAAAGGCUUACCGCUUAGGGAUGGGCUCGCGUCCUAUCAGCUUGUUGGUGAGGUAAUGGCUUACCAAGGCAAUGACGGGUAGCUGGUCUGAGAGGAUGGUCAGCCACACUGGGACUGAGACACUGCCCAGACUCCUACGGGAGGCUGCAGUCGAGAAUCUUCCGCAAUGGGCGCAAGCCUGACGGAGCAAUGCCGCGUGAAGGAUGAAGGUCUUCGGAUUGUAAACUCCUGUUAGGGGGGACGAAGGGUUGUCGGCGAACAGCCGACAGACUUGACGGUACCCCCAGAGGAAGCCCCGGCUAACUCUGUGCCAGCCGCCGCGGUAA
rnacentral:rRNA from 1 species